UACAGAGGGUGCAAGCGUUGCUCGGAAUCACUGGGCGUAAAGGGUGCGUAGGCGGGUCUUUUAAGUCAGGGGUGAAAUCCUGGAGCUCAACUCCAGAACUGCCUUUGAUACUGAGGAUCUUGAGUUCGGGAGAGGUGAGUGGAACUGCGAGUGUAGAGGUGAAAUUCGUAGAUAUUCGCAAGAACACCAGUGGCGAAGGCGGCUCACUGGCCCGAUACUGACGCUGAGGCACGAAAGCGUGGGGAGCAAACAGGG
rnacentral:rRNA from 1 species